CGUCAUUUCUAGGUCAGUGAUUUUUGUAAUAUCUGUUGUUGCACAACUCAUUGUGAAAUUAAAAAAAAUGGCUCCAUUCUCGAAUUGGUAUGAACACUGAAACAUUUGACAGGUACCAUGUUGAACUUAAUUGUGAUUAGGUAUGGUGAACCACCAUUGAUAAUUCAUUGAUAUUGGUAUUACUCAAGUUAUUUCACUUGACUGGGCGGAGUCAAAUAUGAAGUGGCUGUAAGCAACUAUAUUAGGCAACUUUAAGGCCUUCAACAAUGACAAAACCAGAUCUGUAAAGCCGUUUUAAACGGACAUGAGAAGUAUGAAACAAUUCAAACGAAAAAACUUACGGCCUAACUAUACAAAACAAAACAGUUUACAAAAAAUCAAAUAUGAGUUGACACAUGAACCAACGACAACCACUAAACAGAUUCAUAAAGAAUAUGGUAGGGGUUGAUAUAAAAACGAAGAUGUGGUAUGAUUGCCAAUGAGACAACUCUUCAAAGAGACAAAAUGACACAAAAAUAACAGCCAUAUAGGUCACCAUUCAGCCCUCAACAAUAAGCAAGUUUCAUACCAAAUAGUCGGCUUUAAAAGAACCAGAAAUCACAAAUGUAAAACCAUUUAAAGGAGAAAAACUAACAGCCUAAUUAAAGUACAAAAUAAAGAGAACGAAAAACAAAUAAGUAACCCAGUAACAAACGACAACCUCUGACUUGCAAGCUCUUGACUUGGGACAGGCACAUACAUACAGAAUGUGGCGGGAUUAAACAUGUCAUCGGAAUAACAACAAUCCCCUAAUCUGGGACAAUGGUGUAACAGUACAAUAUAAGAACAACAUGCGCGAAUCAUUGCAAUUAGACAAAAGAAACCGGCCAACUAACAUUAAGACAAAAGACUCAACGCAUCGAACUAAGAGUAUUUGCAAUUACUGGAAGUUUAUUCAAAGCUAGUGAUACUAGUACAGCAAUAAAUCUUGUUUCCCCAGACUGAAGUAUCAUCAGUACAUAACCAACUGUUUUAUUAAAAAAAAAUCUAGUAACUGCUAGCUUUAUAUAUAGUCCUUUGUUAAUUCAUUAUCAUUGUCAUUUUGAUUAGUUUCUUUUGUUUCCUAUUCUGACAUAUGACUUGUAUUUCCUUUUCAAGUGCGUUUUACUGUUCAUAUUACUGUGUGUUUUUCAUUCUUUAUUUUUUUUUUGAUAGAUGCACAACCUUAAAAUUUCAGUAUACUGUUAUCCCAUGUGAUGUCUAAUAUGUUUUAAGAAAAAUAAAUGACUUCUUCUUUUCAUUAUUUAUUUUGUAAUUAAAAAUGAUUUGAUAUAUUUCGUGCUAUUUAUUUAUAACUAAGAAUGACUAUUAUCGGAGCCUUGUUUACAUCAGUGUUUACAGAUAUCCCUCUUUUCGCCCCUUUUCUAUUUUGAUAUUUAAUCAAAAAUUUAGAAAAUCAAACUUUCAAAAAGUGAAAUAAUCAAAAUUGCACAUAAGGUUUAAUAUUUUAGAAUUUUGAUCAAAUUCCUAAACUAU
rnacentral:lncRNA from 1 species